GCAGUUCUGGAAGUCCUCUUUCAUGACUUGGUGAGGUAUGAUCAAAAAUGCAAUGACUGAGGCUGCUGAGGGUCACCAACAGAAAGAUAUGCUUUUAGAAACAUUAUGGUGCAUCCUCAUUUACCUUAUUCACUGGACCUGUUACUGGGUGACCUCUGGCUCUUCUGAUUCAGGAUAUCACCGUGACAGUGCAACUAAAGACACUCAUGACAGAGGACUUCACAGCUUCAGAAAGGGAGAAGAAUUAUCAGCUGCUCUGUGGCCACUUCCUGCUCAAGAGCACUUCCAGUGCAUGUCAGCAGGAUGAAAACCAGUGAAUCAACAGAUUUGAGAGAAAAUCUCAAAUAAG
rnacentral:lncRNA from 1 species